rnacentral:misc_RNA from 1 species
GGGGAAGAAAAUUGUUCCGUCACGUCUGUGGUAGAUCAGGUUGAUAGUUUAGGGAACCUGGAGGAACCCAAAAAUAUUGGAGUUAAUGCUAAUCUUCAAGUGAUUGCGUCUCAGGAUGUUGUUAUGAUUUCAGAAAACCUUGUGCAAGAAGAUUCAAAUGAUACAUCCAUUGCGCUACAGGAAGGAAAGAUUGAGGGAUCUGGUGAGAUAAAUCGUGGGUCUCCUAGUGAGAAAAGGCAAUCUGAUCCUC